CCAGGUUGAUGUGAAUGAAUUUAAGAGCAAAAACACUGCCUCUAGGAGCAAAACAAACCCCACCAGCCCCAAAACAAAACAGAACAAAAACUUCAACCCUCUGUCUAGAAGUUGCCUAGGGCAAGGGGAUGGAAAUUUUGGUUUUGUGUUCCUGUUGCCUAGAGUGAUGUACAACCUUUGCCCUUUUAUAACUAGCAACAAAUCCUGGGGCUGACUGGGUAUUACACUAUAUGAGAUGGAAGAAGAAAGAAAAGAAAGUCAUUUCAGGCACCAAAUGGACCUGAGGACCAAGCACAGGUUUUGAGAAGAAGAAAUUUCUUGCCAUCUGUUUAUUUAAAAUGACGUGAAAUGAAGGGAUAGAGUUCAUACUGCCCUAUUAUCCUCCUGAUAGACAUAUUAAUUCAAACUUUCCAAUAAUAACUUCUUAUGCCAGGAAGAAAACGUUGUUUUCUUUUAUGACAAUCAGAUGUUUAAUGGGAGGAACACUCAAUGUGCAUCUAAGAGAUAGGUGAUUCCAGUUAUGAGAAAAAGAGAACUUCACACCCUCAAACUAAACCUGUUUGGUUGCCAGUACAGUAAGCAGCCUGAACAGUGCAGGGAUAGGAUUAUAGUAAUUUAAAGUGCAGUGCAUGAAACGCUGGGUCAAAGAUUUUCACCCAUAUCCUGUUUCAAAAGGUUAGGUAGCAACAGGGAUGAACACAUGACAACCAAAAAAUUAAAAGGUGGCACAGACCUUAAGUGGGGUUUUUAGCCGUCAAUUUGAUUGUAUGGAUUUCAUGAUGGAUAUCACUGGAUUACUUCCCAAGCUCCAACACAGGUAUCAAUGGCACAGGCUAAAUGGUGUCACCAUAGGGUAGACAAUGGGCUUGUUACAACAGAACUAACCUUUGAAUGGCUUGGACAGCAGGCCUGCAGAGUAAGAGUCCUGCUCUUCCAGUGCUGGCUCGCUUCUCCCUUCCACACGCUACCUCCUCCUAUCUCUACGACACAGCCUCUCCCCAGGAGUGCAUUCUCUUCCCCCAGGGGAUGUAGCUGUGGAUUGCUGCCCCUGCAAACAUUGAGAGGGCUACAGUGCAUCCUGGCUUGGAUUAAAAGAGCAAGAGGGAUUUGGAGGACCGCUGGGAACUCAGAAGGGCUGGGAUACCUCUUCUGGAAUCUAAACAAGCUCCAGUCACCGGUCCAGAAGAAUCCCAGUCAUAGAGUUAACAGUUGUCAAUGCGCUGGAAAGACAAAGUUAGAAAUUACUAACCUGUAAGUGAUAGGAUCAAUUCACAACACCACAAAUCUUCCUAGAACAGGAUCAGGAAGCAUUCUAACAAAAACUGCCAGAUUUGGUAAGAUUUUGACUUUUCAUUCCAGCUUCUCCAGAUUAGAAAGCCCUGCUCCCUUGGAAAUGACAGUGGCUUUUCAUACAGUAUGGAGAGGCUCCUAGCACUACUACAAGAGUAUUCACCGUCUUUCACACAACACAGUUCUGCCCUGUAUGCACCAGUCCUGCUGGCUGUCUCCAGACUUACCUUUGCUUCUAGCCCUGAUCCCUUCCAACUUCUGCUCUUCACCAUCAUCAGUCAUAAUCAUCUCUUUAAAUAUGUAUGCUCAGUGGCCAGCUUUUCUUUUAGAAUGUCUGUGGUCAUUGAUUUUUCUAAAUUACACUGUAAUGGGCAAGUAACAAAAGUGAUGAGUGAUUUCAUAGCUGUUGAAAAACUUCCAAGAAAAUAAAUUUGGAACUUCAGGGGCAUGUGGAUAGAACUAAUUACAGUCAUUGUUAAAUAGAUUAAAAAAUAGGUCAGUCUUCUUUCAUUUCUACUCUUUCCUCGGCCAUUUAACAUCACAUGUGAGGAUUUUAAUUUUGUAAGUGACACAGCUCCCUUUAUCAGAUGUUCUCCCCCAUCUCAUAAAACUCAAAGAGCCUGGACUGGGAGCUUCUCACAUGUUGAGGCCUCUAGUCCAAACCCCAUCUUAAGCACUGUUAGUAUGAUCCGCACUGGGAAGAUGUAGCUCUGCUGAUUUCUGAGUGGGUUUUCCCCUUGUUUUUUUAAUUUUAAUACAUUUAUGUAGAACUAAGCAGAUAAGACUCUGUGUGGUGUGCCUCAACAUGCCACUUGAGUCACUCUGGCUUCAUCACAGCACUGAAUUGACACCCAUCUUAGUUUAAAGAUCUGCUUGUUGCUGCUGAGUCUUCCCUACCACAAUCAUUCCACAGCCUCGUAACUCAACAACCUGUCCUUUUUCCUGUCAACACAGCUUUCUUCUAAAGAAUGCUGUUGACCAAACAAAUACCUUCAAAGAGGAUGAGACAGCUAUUGCAUGUGUAGCUUUUUUAAAAAGUCAGUCAUCUACUGAGGUGAUGAGAAUUUGGGGAAUUCUGUGUUAUAAAUACACGGAUGUUUACAGUACAUGUAUGGCUUGCUUGUAGACAAAGUCAGCACCCAGGAGACUUCGGCAUAUAGAUGGAAAUAUAAACAUGUGAUGUUUAGUUCUGUCCUAGUGAAUCAUGUACCAGACACAGAGACUGGAGGUUCUGAGGAUUAUUUUUGAACAGUCAGGUGUUUGAAUUCUGCACCAUUUUAAAUGCUCUAGAUGAAGCAGAGGCUGGAAAAGGCAGAUUCUGGUGGCAAAGGGACCCUUUAUAUUGCUGCUAGCCUACAGUUUUCACUUAUUGCCUUUGAUUAUUCUUGAAUUGUAUAUCUGGUAUGGCUUAUUCAGGUGUUUCUCAAGGGCAAUGAGUGUUUUGUUUCAGCAAAGUGUAAACGUUACCAAAAGAAUGACUCCUAGAAAGUAACAAUUAAGUACAGAAAUGUAGAUUUCAUUUACAGGAAACUAUUUUUAAGAUGUAUCGUUGCUCAGAGAAUAGACUUGGGUUGCUAUAAGCUAAUUAUUAAUGGCUUUCUGAUGUUAGGCAUGGUAAAGAUCUAAGUGUGAUUAAUUUAGCAGGAAUCCUGCCACUCUUUGGUGACAAUGACCUUGAGUCUUCAACUGAAAAAUAGGAACACCUUAGCAAGAGAGUAGCUAUUCUGAAUAACUAAAGUAAAAUAUUAGAAAAUUUCAGGAUAAAUGGAAAGAGCAGACCUCAGCAUGAGUAAUUAAAAAGAACUACAGUUGUCAAGAUUUAAUUUUUAUGCAAAAACUGAGAAGCUUAAAAAAUCCUUAAUGUUACAGUUACCAUUUUCCAUCUUCUGACCACCUUGUUUCUAGGUGAUGGCAUGAUUAACUAUGGAGGCAGCUCAGAUUUCUUUUAAUACUGCUUUAUUGCUAGCAAUACUAUCAGCCCUAAGAGAAUCUCUAAACGUAGUUUUCGGCCUAUUACUACAGGAAUAAUUUGUUUCUCAACUGUUACUUUGAAACAUAUUGAUUUUUCAGCCUACACAUGCUUUUACUUGUUUGUGAUCUUAUCUUACUUAAAUUUCAGAACCACACAAUUCACUGCUAAGAUAAAGAAUGCAAAAUUAUUCACCCAGUUUGGCUUCAGACAAACAAAUGGAACUCAACACAAACAAAGAGAGUUGUAUCCAAGCGUUAUUUGCCUGAGUUCUUAACAUUUCAAUACUUUGUGGAAAAAGCAGGUUGGAUAACAAGCUGUUUUGACUUCACUUCCAGUACACUUUCUGGUUUCUCUAGUCUCCAAAGCCAAGAAUCCAGUCUAAAGAUGCCACAAAGCUUCAGCAUGCUAAAGGCAAGACAGUGCCGUGUUAUUUUUCAAUCUUUGUUGCUACACUUUGGAAUAAAAUAAAAGUUUUGCUGUAGUUUAUAAAAUAAAAGCAGUCUAAGAUGUUACCUAAAUCCUCUACAUUUAUUUCACGUAUGAUUUAUGCUUAGAGGAAAGCACAUUGAGCUGGAACUGGUUACAUUUGCAUUUUCUGCUGAAACAAGUUCUGAGCUUGAAGCAUGUCAUUGGAAGCACCCUGCUUUGAUAAAUUUUCAGCAAUCAGAGCUGAAGCCUGUCUCCCUAAAAUGGGGCACCACACCCAGCAGGUCUGUGGUCUCCGACCUGCUGGCAAAUGGCAUGUGCAUAGAGCAUCCAGAUCAUGCAUCUCAGUAGCAGCUGACACAGCUUCCACAAAGAACAACUGUGAUUUUUCUAGGAAAAACUCAAGCCUUGCAAGUGUCCAUACUGGCAUGAGACUGUUGCUCCACUGUUAUGUAGGGAAUGGAACCAGCUUUUUAGAAAGCAGCCUCUUGACUGCUGUGAGAUAUUGAACUGGCAGCUUGAAAGCCAACCUCCCGUAGCCCCAGAAACAUCCUGAGAGCCUGCAAACCUGAUCUGUGGCCCUGUGUGGAACUGCACUUUCUAGCUAAGUAAAAUCUUUUUGAUUCAUCGAGUUCAUUUGUAGCAACUUGUUUGCAUCACUACCAGAGAGGACACAAUCUGACUUUUUGAACAGCUUUUGUUUGUCCCUAGCAGGCCUUGAUACUCUUUGCCCAUGUUAUGCAAGGCUGGCCUAUCCUACAUGUGACAGAAUUGUCUGGCAAGAUCUACCACCACCUUUCUUUACAGACAGGGCCACUGUUUCAGUGCCAACUGAAUGGAAAGUGUUUGUCAAUUUCUCUUUCCUUUUAGUUUCCUCUGCACGGAUCUGGAGAGUUCCUGCCUACAAAUACUUGCCUAUUGGGUACUUGGGAAACUACUGUCUUCUAAAUGGGAUCAUGUUCUCAAGUCAUAUUUUGCCAUGGAAACAGAGGGGUUAUAAAGGACCUGAAUUUAAUUUUUCUGCAUCAGCAUCUCAGUCAUUCAUUUAUUUGACCAGCUGGAAAACCUUCAUCACAAAAUAAAGGCUGCAGUCUAUAGUGAUGGUUUCAGAGAAAGCAGGAUCCCAAAGCUGAAAGGCUGACAGUGUAAUCGAGAUAAGCAAUCUCUUCCAACUCAAAAUAAGUAGUGUAGUGAUAGCCACCAAAUAUGAUAUGCAAAUUUUCAAGUGUUACUAUAAAAACUUUUUCAGUCAAUUCUGAAUGUGUUUCAGAGUGGUCUAUGAAUCAAAAAAUAUUUAUUAAAACAGAGACUAAAAUGUGUGACUGAAUUCCAGGCAUCAUAGAAUGAUUUUCAAGAUGUUAUUCAAAGCAACGGAUUAUGUACUUAAAAGCAAGCUUAAUCUUGACUGCAUUUUGAAUGAAAACAUUUGGAAAUUCAUACUAAUGCAUUUUUUUAUUAUACUUUAAUUUUUUGCAGUAUUCAAAAAAAAGCAAUUGAAAAUUUGAAAAAGACUGCAAUCCUGCAAAUAUCACCAUUAACUUUAAUAAAACCACCAGCAUGCUGUUAGGGGCUGCUAAAUACCAAGGAUUAAUAAAUGUACAUUUUCUUAAAAGUCUUUAUGAACCAGUACAAAACUAUGUAGGCAUUAACAAAGAAAUAAUUCCAAUUUUUCAAGAUGCUAUUGAAAUUAUCAUGAAUUUCUGAUUAUACACAUCAAUCAAAACAACCAGCCAAAAAAAUGAACGUUUUGGGAAAGACCAGACCUUUAUUUGACAAUAUACUACACAGAAAUGCUUAGAACUCCCUGAAAUGGAUGUAAAAGAUUCGCUGUGAACAGCUUGCUGUGCUUUUAAGAAGAGACAAAGAGAAUUCCCAAAAAAAUCACCAUGUGUUUCACAGCCCCCAGAGAACACCGAAAAAAAGACUUUAGAAAUGUUUGUCCAGAGAGAGUACAUAGUUUCUAUCAGCUUUAGUAAACCUUGUAGUAAGUCUCAUUGUAUUAUUUUAAAGAUUAUUUAAGAAACUUAAUCUAUAAUAGAAGUUUACAGUACUGUUAUUCCUGAGUAAGAAUUACUAAUUUCUUGGUGCUGAUGAUAUACGUUUGUUAAUUGGAGAAUGGUGAUCAGAGAGAAUGCCAGAAAUAAUUUUUUUAAUCUUGUGCUUUGCUUAGUCCUCUUUCCUCUUUUGGGUGAAAGAGUAGUGGUAGCAUUUCAUUCUUUGUCCUCACUACUCCAUGAAAUUAUUAUUUUGUGUGUGAUUAUCUUUCAGUCCAGUUUGUACCUCACUCAUGACACAAGGGUGGUAGGAACAGUCUGUCACAAGGCAAAGGGAAAAAAAGCUAUAGAAGGACUAUCUAAGUGAAAAUGUUUGAAAGUCAAAGGGAGGGCAUGUUUAACUUCACAAAAGAAAAUGCUGGUUUCUGUUGCAAUGUUGGUUACACAAUCACAUAAGGUUUUAUUUUUAAAAGCAAGUAAAAAAAUUAUAGUGCAUCAGCUUCUUGACUGAUGUAAAUCAAGAUGGUUUUAUUGACUUUGAUGGAGCUAUGUCGAUUUAUACCAGAUGAGGAUUUGGCCUACUGUAUGGAGAUAUUUUUAUUUCUCUUCUCACUCUAUCAGUUAAGGAAAGGGUAAUAAUCAGCAAGCUGGAAGCAAUUAUGUGUGUGUGAGGAGGGGGUAGUUU